UACGUAGGUGGCAAGCGUUGUCCGGAUUUAUUGGGUUUAAAGGGUGCGUAGGCGGCUUUGUAAGUCAGUGGUGAAAUAUGGCAGCUCAACUGUCAGGGUGCCAUUGAUACUGCAGAGCUUGAGUACAGAUGAGGUAGGCGGAAUUGACGGUGUAGCGGCGAAAUGCUUAGAUAUCGUCAAGAACACCGAUAGCGAAGGCAGCUUACUGGGCUGUAACUGACGCUGAGGCACGAAAGUGUGGGGAUCAAACAGG
rnacentral:rRNA from 1 species